UCGGAUUUUCUCUCGCCACUUC
rnacentral:siRNA from 1 species